rnacentral:tRNA from 1 species
GGGCUGGGGCUCAGUGGGAGAGCACUUGCUUAACAUGAAUGAGGGACUGGGUUCAAUCCUCAGCACCACA